GUCAAGUCGAGACUAAUGAUAGAGGGAUUGUAUCACACGAUAACUGCACCUAGGGGUUCAUCUUUUUGUUCUGCUGAGUUGUCACUACAUGUUGCUAGAUGUCACUAAUAGAUUGUGAGAUCACACUAAGAUCAUUUUUGGAUCAAUGAUCUUUGUUGAGGUGAGUUGGAAUCAUUUCAACCCAUCAAAAAGAGUUUCGAUGAUACUGUGACGGA
rnacentral:lncRNA from 1 species